UAUGAGAGUUUGAUCCUGGCUCAGGACGAACGCUGGCGGCGUGCCUAAUACAUGCAAGUCGAACGCUUCUUUUUCCACCGGAGCUUGCUCCACCGGAAAAAGAAGAGUGGCGAACGGGUGAGUAACACGUGGGUAACCUGCCCAUCAGAAGGGGAUAACACUUGGAAACAGGUGCUAAUACCGUAUAACAAUCAAAACCGCAUGGUUUUGAUUUGAAAGGCGCUUUCGGGUGUCGCUGAUGGAUGGACCCGCGGUGCAUUAGCUAGUUGGUGAGGUAACGGCUCACCAAGGCCACGAUGCAUAGCCGACCUGAGAGGGUGAUCGGCCACAUUGGGACUGAGACACGGCCCAAACUCCUACGGGAGGCAGCAGUAGGGAAUCUUCGGCAAUGGACGAAAGUCUGACCGAGCAACGCCGCGUGAGUGAAGAAGGUUUUCGGAUCGUAAAACUCUGUUGUUAGAGAAGAACAAGGAUGAGAGUAACUGUUCAUCCCUUGACGGUAUCUAACCAGAAAGCCACGGCUAACUACGUGCCAGCAGCCGCGGUAAUACGUAGGUGGCAAGCGUUGUCCGGAUUUAUUGGGCGUAAAGCGAGCGCAGGCGGUGCAGUGAGAGAAAACUUCGAUCUUCGGCCAGCAGGAAUCAUCGAGAUGCUUGAUUUGCGUCGGAGUGCAGAAGAGGAGAGUGGAAUUCCAUGUGUAGCGGUGAAAUGCGUAGAUAUAUGGAGGAACACCAGUGGCGAAGGCGGCUCUCUGGUCUGUAACUGACGCUGAGGCUCGAAAGCGUGGGGAGCAAACAGGAUUAGAUACCCUGGUAGUCCACGCCGUAAACGAUGAGUGCUAAGUGUUGGAGGGUUUCCGCCCUUCAGUGCUGCAGCUAACGCAUUAAGCACUCCGCCUGGGGAGUACGACCGCAAGGUUGAAACUCAAAGGAAUUGACGGGGGCCCGCACAAGCGGUGGAGCAUGUGGUUUAAUUCGAAGCAACGCGAAGAACCUUACCAGGUCUUGACAUCCUUUGACCACUCUAGAGAUAGAGCUUCCCCUUCGGGGGCAAAGUGACAGGUGGUGCAUGGUUGUCGUCAGCUCGUGUCGUGAGAUGUUGGGUUAAGUCCCGCAACGAGCGCAACCCUUAUUGUUAGUUGCCAUCAUUCAGUUGGGCACUCUAGCAAGACUGCCGGUGACAAACCGGAGGAAGGUGGGGAUGACGUCAAAUCAUCAUGCCCCUUAUGACCUGGGCUACACACGUGCUACAAUGGGAAGUACAACGAGUUGCGAAGUCGCGAGGCUAAGCUAAUCUCUUAAAGUUUCUCUCAGUUCGGAUUGCAGGCUGCAACUCGCCUGCAUGAAGCCGGAAUCGCUAGUAAUCGCGGAUCAGCACGCCGCGGUGAAUACGUUCCCGGGCCUUGUACACACCGCCCGUCACACCACGAGAGUUUGUAACACCCGAAGUCGGUGAGGUAACCUUUUGGAGCCAGCCGCCUAAGGUGGGAUAGAUGAUUGGGGUGAAGUCGUAACAAGGUAGCCGUAUCGGAAGGUGCGGCUGGAUCACCUCCUUU
rnacentral:rRNA from 1 species